rnacentral:rRNA from 1 species
GACGAACGCUGGCGGCGUGCUUAACACAUGCAAGUCGAACGGUAAGGCUCCAGCUUGCUGGGGUACACGAGUGGCGAACGGGUGAGUAACACGUGGGUGACCUGCCCUGCACUUCGGGAUAAGCCUGGGAAACUGGGUCUAAUACCGGAUAGGACCGCACCGUGAGGGUGUGGUGGAAAGUUUUUUCGGUGUGGGAUGGGCCCGCGGCCUAUCAGCUUGUUGGUGGGGUAAUGGCCUACCAAGGCGGCGACGGGUAGCCGGCCUGAGAGGGUGGACGGCCACAUUGGGACUGAGACACGGCCCAGAGUCCUACGGGAGGCAGCAGUGGGGAAUAUUGCACAAUGGGCGGAAGCCUGAUGCAGAGACGCCGCGUGGGGGAUGACCGCCUUCGGGUUGUAAACUCCUUUAGCCAUCGACGAAGGGUUUCUGACGGUAGAUGGAGAAGAAGCACCGGCUAACUACGUG